UCCCUGAUGGUCCAGUGGUUAAGACUCUGCAGUACCAAGGCAGGGGUCCUGGGUUCAAUCCCUGGUCAGGGAA